rnacentral:rRNA from 1 species
AUGAACGCUGGCGGCGUGCCUAAUACAUGCAAGUCGAGCGAACAGACGAGGAGCUUGCUCCUCUGACGUUAGCGGCGGACGGGUGAGUAACACGUGGAUAACCUACCUAUAAGACUGGGAUAACUUCGGGAAACCGGAGCUAAUACCGGAUAAUAUAUUGAACCGCAUGGUUCAAUAGUGAAAGACGGUUUUGCUGUCACUUAUAGAUGGAUCCGCGCCGCAUUAGCUAGUUGGUAAGGUAACGGCUUACCAAGGCGACGAUGCGUAGCCGACCUGAGAGGGUGAUCGGCCACACUGGAACUGAGACACGGUCCAGACUCCUACGGGAGGCAGCAGUAGGGAAUCUUCCGCAAUGGGCGAAAGCCUGACGGAGCAACGCCGCGUGAGUGAUGAAGGUCUUCGGAUCGUAAAACUCUGUUAUUAGUGAAGAACAAAUGUGUAAGUAACUAUGCACGUCUUGACGGUACCUAAUCAGAAAGCCACGGCUAACUACGUG